ACCCGCCGCCACUCGCCGCCGCACCGGGGAAAUUUCCGACCGCCGAUCGAGGUAAAUUUCAUACCCCCGACUCGUUUUUCCCCACUGAUUCCUCCUAUGGCCAAAUCGAAGCCGAAAUCACGGCCAAACGGCCGGAAUACGCGGCCGAAGCCCAGCGGCGCCGCCGCGCCCCCUCUCGGUUUUUGCCUCCGACGAGGCCCUUCCCGGCCUCCGUUCGAUGCAAUUUUUAUAUUACCGUGAUCACCAUUCUUUUCUCUACAGGUUGACCGGAGCCGAAUCACCAAAACACGAACCUCGCUGGAGAGCCGCUGCACCCGAGAGCGCCGCCGCCGGUAAGCUCCGUUUUUCCGUGAUUUUUUGGCCCCCCGAGGGCCCUAGGGUUGUUUUCUGACAAGGACCAAUGCGAGUGUGGCCGAAUUCGGCCGAAAACGGCCGAAAACAGUCAACCCGAGGCGACUCGCCGCCGCCAGCGGCGGCGCCGUCGCCGGAGCACGGCGGAGCCGCCGUGCCGGAGUUGCGAUUUGGUCCGAAAGGGGCCCUGGGCCUAAUUUGGAUUUUUUUUGGAACACGUGCAGGUACUGUUAGUGUGUUUCAGUUCCCCGGGAAAAAAUUCAGGG
rnacentral:lncRNA from 1 species